rnacentral:rRNA from 1 species
UAGUUGGAUCUGGAGUGUGAGUGAAUGGUCGAUCGAAAGAUUGUACUGUUCGGCACACUCUUCUCUUCGGUUGCGUGUGUAGUGCCCUUAACUGAGUGCUGCACUCGACCGGAAUUUUUACCUUGAAAAAAUUAGAGUGUUCAAAGCAGACCUUAUUAUGUCUGAAUAUUCGUGCAUGGAAUAAUAAAAUAAGAACUUGGUUCUAUUUUAUUGGUUUUCGGAACUCGAGUUAAUGAUUAAGAGGGACAGACGGGGGCAUCCGUACUCUGCCGUUAGAGGUGAAAUUCUUGGAUCGGCGGAAGACGCGCAACUGCGAAAGCAUUUGCCAAGAAUGUUUUCUUUAAUCAAGAACGAAAGUCGGAGGUUCGAAGACGAUCAGAUACCGUCCUAGUUUCGACUGUAAACUAUGCCAGCUAACGAUCAGACAGCGUUCUCUACGACUUGUCUGGCAGUUUCCGGGAAACCAAAGCUUUUGGGUUCCGGGGGAAGUAUGGUUGCAAAGCUGAAACUUAAAGGAAUUGACGGAAGGGCACCACCAGGAGUGGAGCCUGCGGCUUAAUUUGACUCAACACGGGGAAACUCACCCGGCCCGGACACAGUGAGGAUUGACAGAUUGAGAGU